rnacentral:sRNA from 1 species
CGGCUUGCAGAGUUCAGCGUACAGCUUCAUGAAGAUAGAAGCCAAGGAAAACGAGGGGGCAGCAAGCAAUAUUAUGGCGGAAGAACCGGUAAAAACGGCGAGGAAAAGUGCUGUUCCCGAGACCUCCAACAAGAAUUCGCCUUGUAUUAUAAUAUUGUUCAACAACAGGAAGUUCAUCCAUCGAUCGGGACCACGUCAUACGAAAGACAUCCAACAGUCAACUAUUACAUCGAGCGAAUCCACCCUCUAUUUGUUAUAUAAACCCAUCGAUUUAUUCCCAGUGGUGUUCGUUGAGGAAGGCCUUGAAAGAAAAAAUUACACAGCCGGCAUAACUGACAUUUUGCUAUUACAACAGUGAUGGGGCAUGUACACUGUUUGACCCCCGGAACUUGGCCAGUAUUCAGCCAGAAGAAUGUUAACUUUGGUUCUCAUAGUAGACACCAGCUGGCUCCUAAGCAGCGAAGGGCAAACAUGAACCCCAAUCCUCUUGAAAAAGAAACUUUUACCCUUGUCACAGCGAGCCAUCGACUUCCUGUGGAAGUCAUUCAUUAUAUCUUUGGGUUCUAUCUUCGUAAAACUGAUCGAACCAGCAAAGGCUUCCUGCAGCUCCUAACCAUCAGCGAGAGCACCUACUGCAAUCAAUUCCGAAAUAUCUCUUGGCCCUCGCAAUAUUGAGACCUUUUACCGAAUAUGUAGUCGAGAUACGGAUUUGUCUCUCUACGACUCAAAAUUGACCGCGCACUGAUACAACAUCUUUAUCAGCCGGAUCUUGAGCCUGUAAGGUGUCUUGAAAUAUUUGCCCAGUUGAUAGAAGCGCUGAUACCGAUGCGCCUCGGACUGGAAUACGAUGGCCCGCAAGAUGGUCCGAUAUGGAUACAAAAGGAGAGCGGAGUGGACUUGUUAUUAAAGAUGGUAUGACUCACCAAAUGGACCCCACGACUCGAUAUCUGCGAUUCUCAGACGUUACAGCAGACUUAUAACUUUUUCAAUCUCACAGCAGAAGUGUUCGCGCCGGCAAGGCCUUACUUUGAACCAUUCAGGCAUGCCCAACUGAUUGUCUUCCCACAAAGUUUCUCCAACGACGUUUUCAAGCUCUAAACCACUCAAGAGCAAUAUAAAUCUUGGCCACGGCCUGAAAAGAAUUAAUGGCAGUUUUGGGGCAGACCAAAACUCCUCCUAUGCGUUACUGGAUGGAAAACACUUGUAAACAAAAUUACUAUGCCGUUUCUUACCACAUCUCUUAAGAUAUUUUGUGCGUAAGAAUACACAUACCCCACCUUGUCGUCCAGAACGCUCAUUCAUACCGUAAGAUAAUGGAUUCCACAUGCCACGGGAGAUUUGGUGAGUGAUGAUUGUCUUAUUACGCACGUGUCGGAGAUAUCGGAUUAUCUUCAUCGGAUAUUCACAAAUACAAGCACUUAGCUGUACGUUUUACGUUUGGUUUAUACGAUUCCUGUGGUUCAUGUAUUUUGGGUGAUUUUUGGGG